ACAAGUUACACCUCUUUUAGAAUUUGUCUAGCAGGUUUGCAGUUUUCACUGGAAGUGGAA
rnacentral:snRNA from 1 species